UUUGAAAAAAAAAAGAGUAAA
rnacentral:piRNA from 1 species